rnacentral:tRNA from 1 species
GGGGAUAUAGCUCAAUUGGGAGAGCGCAGCGUUCGCAACGCUGAGGUCGGGGGUUCGAAUCCCCCUAUCUCCACCA